GGAGGCAAAUAGGGGAGGAGACUGGUGGUGCAAUGAAGGGUAGUGUUUUUGCACCCCACAACCUCCCACAAAACACAAACACAUACACUGACACUGACGCCAUUUGGACAUUGGGGAGCGAUUUCGUUCUCCCGUGCGCUUGCUGACACUCUCUUUCUCUCUCUCUCUCUCUCUCUCUCUCUCUCUCUCUCUCUCUCUCUCUCUCUCUCUCUCUCUCUCUCUCUCUAUCUCACUCUAGCCGUGUUUUGUUUUGUCCAUUAGAAAUCGCAGCAAGCCGUGCACGAUCCAAACAGAAGAGCGGUGUGGAGUUUCGCGGGAUGAUCGUAGGGGUGUGGGUGAGGGAGACGCGUUUACAGUCGCUUUUGAAAACCCACUGGCUUUGGAGCGAAAUCCACAAGCGCGGGCACACACACACACACACAUAAACGUGUAAAACGGUGUUCAAUUUCUUGGUGUUGCGCUACACCCCGCACACGUUCUCUUCCUAGACGUCCUCUCACCAUCCCUACUUGUGCAAAAUGGAAUAGUUAUAAUAGAAGAUGACGCUCUACACUAACACACCCCGAACGGGUGCAAAAACGGAAGAAGAUGCAUCGACAGUGGGAGAGGGCUUCCCAGAGGAAAGGAAGGAGGAUUGUUUUUACACGCAUUUCGAACGAGCGAAGAGCUCCCCUCAUGUUACUACCGUUUCAACGUUCAAGGGCAGCACAGCGUAGGUAGGUGUAGAGGUUUAGGAAUUGCAUCCAGCAAUGGGAGAAAAGAGAUGCCAAUUCCGGGCGAAUUUGUUUGAAAAUUCGUGUGUUUUUUUACAUCCCUCACACCGCAACGGAGAAAGAUUUAGUUCAUCGUGACGUUAUCCAGAUUUUGGGGCCGCAAGAAAGCGCCGGAGGUUAGCAAAACAGAUGAUCGAUUUCACAGCAUCGAUCAUACAGUAGGCGAGUGACUGAGGCGUUGGCGUUAAAGCAGAUCAGGCACACGGGGCGCAAUGGACAACCAAAGCGGGAGCUUAUAAGGUGAACAAAUAAUGUGAAAAUCCAUCCCAUCACAGACCCAUUGAGGUGCUGUUGCCGGUGGCAAAUAGAGUGGUAUAACAAUGAUUGAUGGAAGGCGAUGGCCUCCACACUACCGUUUACAAAGAUGGACAUCGAGAAGUAUUGACCCAAAUGAGGGAUUAUAAUGAUUUUGGUGGGUUGAUCGUGUGUGGCUACUCUAGUUAACAUAAUAAUGCAGCAGGAACAAAAUAGAAUCAAUGUGUUCCACUUUCUUAUUUUCUGCUUUAAUAUCCAUGAAACUAGCUUUAACAAAAACAACCUUUUUCUAAGUACAGCAUCUCCAGCAACUGCCACAAAUCACACAGCUCGACGCAAAACAGUGUCAACAUCUCUAGUGAGUCAUAUGUCACGUUCGAUCACCAGUUUCGUUUCCAGCGUACGCAAAACAGACCGGACAACACCCGCUUGGCUAUAAAUUGAGUCAUGUUAAAGUCAUGCCUAAUGUAUCGUCGUGUAAGAUGGAUUCACCUCUCUGGUAUUGAAGCACGGUCGUAGCGUUGCCGCUCACGCGAGCCACCGGCGGGUGUGGUGCUUGACUACAGGUUUUUGAUGCGCAAAAUGUAAUAAACACUGCAGUUGCAUCUUUCACGCACCGGGCGGAAGGUGCACCGUGCACCGGCGGUUUAACAGACAGGUAAUCCCGUUUGAUAGACACACACACACACACAGCGCUAGGGUGCAUAUACACGAAUGAGGAUUUACACUAGGGAACGAGUGUUUCAUUCGCUGGAGCGUACCAAUUGAAUUUCUUUACUACUAAUUCGUUUUGUUAUUUUUUUGUGGAAAAAUAUCAUAAAUUCAAGAAUUUAAAGUAUUUUUAAAAGGAAAAUAAAUAUGCUUUGUAAACUUUA